UCACCGUUAGUGACAGAACUGCCACUGAAGAAAAAGAAAACUGAGAUAAAAGGGAAGACCACUGUUCAAACCUUUAAACAGGAACAGCACAAACAACAUGAUGCUCGUCAAAACCAGGAUGAGAGCCAGGAACAAAUAGCUGUUUGCCAAAAA